rnacentral:rRNA from 1 species
CCUACGGGUGGCUGCAGUGGGGAAUAUUGCGCAAUGGGCGAAAGCCUGACGCAGCAACGCCGCGUGGGGGAUGAAGGCCUUCGGGUUGUAAACCUCUUUCAGCAGGGAAGAAGCGAAAGUGACGGUACCUGCAGAAGAAGCACCGGCUAACUACGUGCCAGCAGCCGCGGUAAUACGUAGGGUGCAAGCGUUGUCCGGAUUUAUUGGGCGUAAAGAGCUCGUAGGCGGUUAGUCACGUCGGAUGUGAAAACCCGGAGCUUAACUCCGGGCCUGCAUUCGAUACGGGCUGACUAGAGUGUUGUAGGGGAGACUGGAACUCCUGGUGUAGCGGUGAAAUGCGCAGAUAUCAGGAAGAACACCGGUGGCGAAGGCGGGUCUCUGGGCAACUACUGACGCUGAGGAGCGAAAGCGUGGGGAGCAAACAGGAUUAGAUACCCCGGUAGUC